CAGAAAAUGGCCGGAAAGGAGAUGAAACAAGCUCUUACCGAUGGCGGAAAAGAGGAAGAAAUUGCCUCAGCUUCGACGACGACAGAAGGGGACCAUCGCCGGCGCAAAAAUUUGAUUGUUUUUAUAUUGCCGAAGUUAAACAGAUUAUUGGGAUCAAUUUCAUGGAGACAACUGACGAAAUGUCCAGUUCUUAAACUCUAAAGUUUUUGAAAUCAGAAUCAUCCUGAAGAAUGACAGAUCAAGCUGAAAGGAACAUCUGAAAAUCAUACUAGCACUCAUUUUGCUUCAGAAACACUGUCUGAAUUUUGUUUCAAUGUGUCUAUGUAUCUUCCUUCUAGGAUGUCAUUAUCUGAAAGGAACUUCAGAAAAUCUUCAAAGCUGCCUUCUUUGUAGGACGAUGGAUGUCCCUCAUCCACUAGGUCUGGAGCAGGCUGCCAUUUCUCAUUGUUGCCCAUCACUUCUAGACCCUCUUGAUUUUGGAGGAUGAUUGUUAACAAUCCAUAAUCCGAGUGCCGGGGGAGGCCCAGAGCUAAUUUUGGUUCUGGGCAAGCAGGGUAGCAAUUCACGGCUAAGACUUGGGAGCCUUGCUCCACAUCAUUCUGCAAGUAGUCUGAUCGUAGACCCAAACUCUCAAAUAUUAUCUGCAUUAGCUUUGUAUGCAAAAGAAGCACAGCCUUGGCAUAGUUUCCCAUUUUCUUCCUACAAAAUCAAUUCAUACUCUUUGAGUUCCACCUUUUAUGUUUUGACUUGGGAUAGUGAUGAUAAGGCAAAAUAAGAAUGUCAGUAUAGGAGUAUAUUUUAUUGAACGUGGCAUAUUAUGUUAUACGACUAGUUAUUAGUUGUGCAAGGACUGAAUCGUGUUGCUUACUUGUAAGUUGGAGGCUCUGAUGGCCACAAGUCGAUCCAAGUUGAAAUUGGGUUGGCGUAGUGUUUGAUGAAGUCUCUCCAAUAUUGAACUUUAUCCUUGACUUGAUUUAAACUUGUCCCGUACCUUACAGGUUCAUGAACAUUAGUUGAGGCAAGCCGCAUCUUUGUGUCAUUUGGCAUCUCAAAGAAAUCUUCUGCAACAUCUAGAGCCUCAUCCGUUAAUGAAACAUGAAUUCCAUGAUUGAUCACCUGCAGGGGAUAAAAGAAUUUUUUAGCACAUAUUCUUAGAAUAGAGUGGUUAAACUGUGCAUGAUGUGCUAUAAGUCAAACUGCUUUUUAGUUGACUGCUCUUGCAAUGAGAAGCCAUUAUAAGUACCACGGAAGAUGGAAUUCUUUAGUGAAUUUGCCUAAACUGCUUCAGGAUCACACUUUGUUUUACUUUCUUCACUAGCAAUGCACUCUCAUUAUUGAUGUUAAACCAUGCAAUGCACUCUCAUUACUUAUUAGGAAUUUUACACUGUUAGUUAUGGCCUAAAAUCUGUUUUGUCGUUCAGGUGGCUUUUAUGCAAUUAUAUGUGAUUAUUAACAUACCUGAAAACCUCCGAAUUCCUUGCAAGCCACUUGCACUUGUUCAGUCACCUGUGAUUGAAGAACUGGGUUCUCGAAAGAGGAGAGAUCUAUGACUGGCAAAGCACUGAAGGAGGAAGGUGGCGUCAGCUCAAGGGUAGGGCGAUCCGCUGGAGGAAGAAUGUAGCUCUCAGGAACAGUGCUUAUACCCAUUUGUGCAAGUGUCAUUGUGCUUGUGAAAUACUGAUCAUCUGUGGGUUACAUUGAAUGUAGGAAGCAUUUAUGUGCUCAUGCCAAUGAGUAGAUCACUUGCCGUUAGAAUUGAUAUUUUGUUUCAUUCAAAGGUGGAGAGAGAGAGAGAGAGACAAAAGGAUGGCUGUCACCACUUCUUCCACUUGGAUAUUUUAUUACGCGGGAAAUAAGUUCACGUGGAGUGAUGGUCAUUUCAUUUCAAAUAAUGUGAUAACGCUGAUGUCGUAAUUUACUUUGUUAUUUCGGGAGAUGCUCUGUUUUGGGGCCUUAGUAGUAUCCUUGGAAAUUGCUUUGCUCUUGGUUGAAAAAGGCAACUAUAGUGACGUUAAAUUUGAUUCCUAUUUUUGCGUUUUGGAAAAUGAAAUAAAAACCAUGCAUUUUGAAUUGGA